CCCAGUGUGGUGUAGUGGUUUGAAUAUUGGACUAAGAUUCUGAAGACCAUGGUUUGAUUCCCAGCUCAGCCA